UUCCUUUCUCAAUCGAAAUCUUCCCUACGCGAUUCCACCACUGACACCAUGAUCAGCACCAGCAGAAGGAGCAGCACCGCCACACCCAUGUCCGCUAUUGAUUUUUAUCUCCACCCGAAAUAGAGAAGAACUGAAAUCCAGGCUAGGGUUUAGUUAUUUUGGGGAUUUAGUCGAGAUACCAUUUCCGUUCUUUCUUCAAACCCCAAUCUACUGCACACAAUUUUCUAUCAGAAACAAUUGAACUCAAUUUCAAGUUUCCCAGCAAGAUUUCAAUUUUUCCGUAUUUUCUCCCAUUCUUUCAUCAAUUGAGUUCACACAAUUUCUAUCAAAAGAAAAUUUUGUUUCAAUUUUGUCAGCCUUACAUAUUUGAUUCCUCUGGAACAAAUUUGCAAGCUAACUGGAUAUUCAUUCCUUUAAAGACUUGCAGGAAGCUGCUCAAGGUCCUAUUCGCUGGGGAUCAUAUUAGCAACGCUGAAUCUGAAGUGUCUAUAGGGAACAAUAUAAUCAGCAAUCAGGCAUUAAAGAUCCUACAGGAGAGCUUCAGAAGUCACCCAUCAAGGAAAGAUCACACGUCGAUUAAAGGAAUGAAAUCUCUUUCAAUCUUUCAAGCAACAAGAUGUUGAAGACACAAGGUUGGAGCUUCAUAGGUGAAGAAUGAGAUUACAUUGUUCACAGGUCACUGCAUUAAAGAAGAUGUUGAAGGGUAAACCCAUAAGUCUCUUAUUAGUUUGGCUUUGGUAUAUCGUCGUGCUUUGGAAUUCUCAUGCUUAAGCCAAUAAUAUUGGUAAAAAUUAAAUUUACUUGAGGAACAGCUGAGAUUGACUCGAGAAUACAAUGGACUCAAGAAUAUUGAGUCUCAAGUUUGUCUUGGCGAGAGCAGCUGGACAUGAUACCCAAUGUAUAAACAUAAUCUCGCCUGUCCAGUUUUCAGAGCUUACUUAUUAUCUAUGCUCGAUGCCAAGCAAAAUAUAAAUAAAUAGUAAAAUUUGUGUGUGAAUGAUUAUUCUUGAUCGAAAGAUUAUUAUGGAAUGAAAAGUUCAAUUUUUUUUGAAA